UACAGAGGGGGCAAGCGUUGUUCGGAAUUACUGGGCGUAAAGGGCGCGUAGGCGGCCGCCUAAGUCAGACGUGAAAUCCCUCGGCUCAACCGGGGAACUGCGUCUGAUACUGGGUGGCUUGAAUCCGGGAGAGGGAUGCGGAAUUCCAGGUGUAGCGGUGAAAUGCGCAGAUAUCAGGAGGAACACCGAUGGCGAAGGCAGGGCUCUGGGCCGAUACUGACGCUGAGGAGCGAAAGCGUGGGGAGCGAACAGG
rnacentral:rRNA from 1 species